GAUUCUUCGGAUGAAGAAGACUGUGACUGAGUGGCGGACGGGUGAGUAACGCGUGGGCAACCUGCCCUGUACAGGGGGAUAACAGUUAGAAAUGACUGCUAAUACCGCAUAAGCGCACGAGGACGCAUGUUCUUGUGUGAAAAACUCCGGUGGUACAGGAUGGGCCCGCGUCUGAUUAGGUAGUUGGUGGGGCAGCGGCCUACCAAGCCGACGAUCAGUAGCCGACCUGAGAGGGUGACCGGCCACAUUGGGACUGAGACACGGCCCAAACUCCUACGGGAGGCAGCAGUGGGGAAUAUUGCACAAUGGGGGAAACCCUGAUGCAGCGACGCCGCGUGAAGGAAGAAGUAUUUCGGUAUGUAAACUUCUAUCAGCAGGGAAGAAACUGACGGUACCUGACUAAGAAGCACCGGCUAAGUACGUGCCAGCAGCCGCGGUAAUACGUAUGGUGCAAGCGUUAUCCGGAUUUACUGGGUGUAAAGGGAGCGUAGACGGAGAGGCAAGUCUGAAGUGAAAGCCCGGGGCUCAACCCCGGGACUGCUUUGGAAACUGCAGUUCUAGAGUGCCGGAGAGGUAAGCGGAAUUCCUAGUGUAGCGGUGAAAUGCGUAGAUAUUAGGAGGAACACCAGUGGCGAAGGCGGCUUACUGGACGGUGACUGAC
rnacentral:rRNA from 1 species